CCAUGGUCUCCGGCAGCAGCGGCCUUGCCGCCGCCCGCCUGCUGUCGCGCACCUUCCUCCUGCAACAGAAUGGAAUACGGCACGGGUCUUACACAGCCUCUCGGAAAAAUAUCUAUAUUGAUAAAAAUACGAAGGUUAUUUGCCAGGGUUUCACAGGCAAGCAGGACUGUUCUGAUACAAUGUAAUUCAGCAAAGGAGAUGCAGGCAGUCUUAGAGACCAGCUUGUCAAGCCUUAUCUGCAGGGUGCCAGCAGAUGCCACCAGCUGUUACAGACACCAUGUUCAAAUACAGGCAUCCUGACAAGGAAGAUGCACAUCCCGAGGUGGACCAUGCAUCUGCCUCCUCCUUUCCAGCAGGCAGUCUGAUUUUGUGUAUGUUAUAAUAGCAUAUAAUUAACCUAUAAUCUAAUUGCUGAGGAAGUUCAUUAUGCUUGAUUUCUUUUUUCUGUUUGUUGAAUGACAUUUUGUAUGACUUUUACAUUUUGUGAAAUGCUUUAUGAUAUUCUUGUGACACUUUAACCUCUGAUAUUUUUGUAAGAUGUCAGAUAUCCAUGUAUAAGCACUAUUUGGAACUGAGUCUGCGUCCUAAAUUAAUGAUUUAUUAAAGUCUUUGCGUCUGGGG
rnacentral:lncRNA from 1 species